rnacentral:rRNA from 1 species
AGCUUGCUCCACCGGAAAAAGAGGAGUGGCGAACGGGUGAGUAACACGUGGGUAACCUGCCCAUCAGAAGGGGAUAACACUUGGAAACAGGUGCUAAUACCGUAUAACAAUCGAAACCGCAUGGUUUUGAUUUGAAAGGCGCUUUCGGGUGUCGCUGAUGGAUGGACCCGCGGUGCAUUAGCUAGUUGGUGAGGUAACGGCUCACCAAGGCGACGAUGCAUAGCCGACCUGAGAGGGUGAUCGGCCACAUUGGGACUGAGACACGGCCCAAACUCCUACGGGAGGCAGCAGUAGGGAAUCUUCGGCAAUGGACGAAAGUCUGACCGAGCAACGCCGCGUGAGUGAAGAAGGUUUUCGGAUCGUAAAACUCUGUUGUUAGAGAAGAACAAGGAUGAGAGUAACUGUUCAUCCCUUGACGGUAUCUAACCAGAAAGCCACGGCUAACUACGUGCCAGCAGCCGCGGUAAUACGUAGGUGGCAAGCGUUGUCCGGAUUUAUUGGGCGUAAAGCGAGCGCAGGCGGUUUCUUAAGUCUGAUGUGAAAGCCCCCGGCUCAACCGGGGAGGGUCAUUGGAAACUGGGAGACUUGAGUGCAGAAGAGGAGAGUGGAAUUCCAUGUGUAGCGGUGAAAUGCGUAGAUAUAUGGAGGAACACCAGUGGCGAAGGCGGCUCUCUGGUCUGUAACUGACGCUGAGGCUCGAAAGCGUGGGGAGCAAACAGGAUUAGAUACCCUGGUAGUCCACGCCGUAAACGAUGAGUGCUAAGUGUUGGAGGGUUUCCGCC